rnacentral:lncRNA from 1 species
UGUCUCCCCAUGCAUACUGUGCUCUGUCUCCUCAGUGUUACUCAUGCUGCCUCCAUCCCUGGUGCCCUCUCUGUAUCUCUGUGCCUUUGUGCACACUGCUUCCUCUGCCUGGAAGCCCUUCUUCCUUUCUCCACACAACACAUCCCUCCUUACUCAUUAAAGUCCCGUACAAAUGCUAAAGGCAGCUGAUCUUGUCAGCAAACUUGGCCACCAAAUAGAAAAUCUCCUUCUAUGCCCACUAGUCAUGGACAAAACUCAAAAGUUGCAUGGGAACUUCAGUUAUCGGGCAAUGUUACCAGGGUUUGGGGCAGAAGGAACAGAUAAAAGGGACAAUUCUAAGGAAGAUGAUUGAAAGACUGACCCCAAUGUGGAGAGGAUGAUUCCAGCACUACUCGUACUGCACUAGCUGUUUCCAUGGUAACCAAAGGGGUCUCCCGGUGGCUGGCUGGGCUGAAUAUCAGGUUCUACAGGCCUGGAAGCAUCUCCCCGCCCACUGUUGAUCCAUCUCCUUCGCUUCACUGAGGAAAGUCAAUGGGAAGCGUCAAAGGAUCCACUGACCUCUGUCGGAUUUCUCUGGAAAGACUCCCAGCAAACAAGAUUCCCUUAUUUGAUGAGCCCUUCAGGACAGGGGUCUGGGGUUGACUCUUCUCCAUGCAGACCUACACAGACUGCUCCCCUAAGCAGCAGCUACAUGAAUUGAGUGGGCCUGGUUCCGGUCCCCUCUCUUGAUCCAGAGUCCUCAGCACAGGUUGGAAGCCUGGGCGCCUCCUUGCCUUGAGAGCAUGAGUGGACACUUCCUGGUGGGAAAGCAGCAUGCCCCUUUUCUAGUGUUAAGGGACACCUCAGCAUGAUUAUUAAAGACAGUUGCAGCAGGAGGUCACAGAGGGUCACAGAGGCAGGGCGCAAAUUACAGUGAGCUGAUUUCACAAAGUACCUGGACUCCAGGCCCAGCUCUGCAGCCUUGCACAAAGCUGGUUCAGCCCUCCAAAGCUGAACAACAGUGCAAAAGAAGGUGCAUUGGUAUCAAGUGAUUUUCCUGGAUCCUUUCAGCACUGAAAGCCUGUAUUAUUAAAGUCAGAUUUUCACAAAAAGGAAUAAAUUGAAAACAAAGGUGCAGUAUAAUAGUUCUGGAAAAACGAAGUUGCUUGAUCUUGUACACCACCACAGGGGAAGACACACAGCAUGAUGGGAAGUGGGACCCCUAGAGCAAGGAGAUAAGAAGAGAACUGCAGAAUUUUCUCUGUGUUUCUCUCCCUCAGCUCUGUGUUUUUCUCUGUGUUUUCUCUCCCUCAGCUCUCUGAAAAAGCUAAACAAGCUAUGCUCACACCUCCAAAGGACCAGCGCUAAGCCCCUUAACAUAACUCUUAAUCCUUUCUGCUGACCAUUCCCUGGGGUUGGGCAGAAGUAAAGUGCACAUUCAAUUCUGUGAUAUGACUUGUAUUAUAAUAUACCACCAUAAGAGAACAAGCAAUUCUGGUGGGGACGGUGAAGGGACUCCCACAUCAUAUGGGCAAUGGUUAGUGAUUCUAACUAGUUCUUGAUUAUCCUGCCAGUCAACUUUCCAAUGAAAGCAAAUUUUUGAAGGUAAAAGUAUGAGAGAUG